CCUGGCUUAGGAUGAACGCUGGCGGCGUGCCUAACACAUGCAAGUCGAACGGUGAUGAUUGAUAUUUCGGAUGGAUCAUCAUAGUGGCGACGGGUGAGUAACGCGUGGAUACCUGCCUCGUACUGGGGGAAUAGCAGCUGGAAACGGCUGGUAAUACCGCAUAAGCGCACGAUGCCGCAUGGCAAUGUGUGAAAAGAUUUUAUCGGUACGAGAUGGAUCCGCGUCUGAUUAGCCAGUUGGCGGGUAACGGCCACCAAAGCGACGAUCAGUAGCCGGCCUGAGAGGGUGAACGGCCACAUUGGGACUGAGACACGGCCCAGACUCCUACGGGAGGCAGCAGUGGGGAAUAUUGCACAAUGGGCGAAAGCCUGAUGCAGCGAACGCCGCGUGAGUGAAGAAGUAUUUCGGUAUGUAAAGCUCUAUCAGCAGGGAAGAAAGGCCCGAAAGGGAGAUGACGGUACCUGACUAAGAAGCCCCGGCUAACUACGUGCCAGCCGCGGC
rnacentral:rRNA from 1 species